AGGACCAAAAAAGCAAUCUGUAGAAGGGGUUCGACUUAUCUACAGGUUACGCUUUCGUCAAACCUUUCUUCUGGUGGUAAGAGACAUCGUAUCAGGUCAAGUGAACGAACAAAAGAAGAGGACUUUGUCAGUAAAGGCGUCAAAUUUGCAAUUAAACAUCACUAGACAAGAUUAUUUAUCUUUUUAGUUCCAAUUUGUUUCUGCU